UUGGAUCCCGGGUGUGGACAUGGCACCGUUUGGCAAGCCAUGCUGUGGAGAAUAGGAACACCCAGCUGUGAGUGCCUGGCCCGCCAUAGCAACACCAAGGAAGACUUCCUUCAUAGACCAGGCCAGCUCCUGGACGCCAGGGUCUGCUUUCCUCUUCCUCAUUUAUAACUUUAUAAUUUUGAAAGAGAUUGAGACCCAGGGCGGGGACACUUGAGCCCCAUCCGAGUCGAACGGAGGAAGGAGAAAAUGCUUCUGAUUGGGACAUAGCCCCUUGAAGUGGCAGCCUGGAGGGACAGAGGAAGAGUGCUAUCUUCCCCUACCCCCACCACAGUCUGUGAACCCCUUGAGAGUAAGGACUUUGCUUUUUCAUUUUUGUAUCCCCAAAGAAUCUGGGCUAAUGUUGGUGAUUAAUCCGUCUUUGGGAAAGUUAGAAAUGGAAGGGAAAGGAGGGCCAGAAGAGACAUCAUACAUUUUCCUCUCGAUGCCAUUGCCUCCCUCGUCCCAAAGGCUUUACCUGAAAGACUCACCUGGUGUUUUUACCUGAAGAGUCACAUUAGCAGUCUUCUGAGCCCCUAGUUGAAUCAACCCAAAGUUUCUCACUUUACAGUCCUGGAAAUAUCUACUCUGUGUCAGGAACUACAGCAGAUGCUGAGGAUAUGAAGAUGAAUAAGACGAUCUUUGCCCUCAAGGAACUUAGAGAACAGCUGGAGUGGAAGAUAAGUAUAGCAAAAUUAGCGAUAUGAGAGAGGCAAGGGCAAGUUACUGAGGGAGCACAUGGGGGGCAUCUAACCUUAAUGGAAGGAGAGUAAUCAGGGAUGGCUUCCCAGAGGAGGUAAUGAUGCUUGAUCUGCGUCUUGAAGGAUGAGUGGAGGAAAGAAGUUCUAAGCAGAAGGAGCGAGGUCUACAAAGGCACAAAGGUCAGAGAGCUCCCACCAAAGUGUAAAUGUGUUGCUGGGGAAAGGAGGAAGAAGGAGGGAGAUGGUGGUGUUCACAGUUGUCUGUAGGUUACUGGGAAGACAGGCAUGGCCAGAUCAUAAGGACAACUUAUGCCUUGAUAAGAAAUUUUCACGUUUUCUUAAAGACUGUGCAAACCAUUAAAGAAGUUUAAGCAGCAGAAUAAUACGAUUGAGGAUGGAUCAGGGAGGACAAUCCUAGAGGCAGAGAGUCCAGUUAAGAGAUUGGGGCAAUCAUGAGUCAAGGGAUGACAAGGGCCUGGGGUACUGGCACAGGGGACAGAGAGGAAGCGAAUGUGUUUAAGAGCCAUUAAGAAGAUGGAAGAGAGAAGGCUAUGAGACUAAAUGGAUAUGGGAGAUGAAAGAGGAGGAAUCAAAGAUGGCUUUGUUUCUGGUUUGGGUGAUUGAGUGGGUGAUGGGUUCAUUCACCAAGAUAGGGAAUAGAGGAGGAGGAUCAGUCUGGAGAAAAGUAGAUCCAUUUUGGGACAUUUUGACUCUCCAGUAAAGAUGAUCAUUAGCUGGUUGGACACUGGGGUGUGACACUCAGAAAAGAGGUCCGGUCAUCAGCUUAUGAGUGGACAAGAAUUGAUGAGAUUGCCUUGGAUGCGAAUAUAAGAAAAGAUGAGAAAAGAAUUGAGAGAUUGCUGAAGGAACAUAAGAUUUAAGGGCCGGGGAAGUAAAAGGAACCCACAAAGGAAAUUGAGUCAUAGUCAGAGAUAAUAAAGAAAAAUUGAGGGGGCCAGACCAGUGGUGCAGUAGUUAAGUUUGCAUGUUCCGCUUCGGUGGCCCAGGGUUCGUUGGUUCAGAUCCCAGGUGCAGACCUAUGCACCACUCAUCAAGCCAUGCUGUGGCAGGCACCCCACAUAUAAAGUAGAGGAAGAUGGACACAGAUGUUAGCUCAGGGCCAAUCUUCCUCAGCAGAGGGAGGAGGAUUGGCAGCAGAUGUUAGCUCAGGGCUAAUCUUCCUCGAAAAAAAGAAAAAAGAAAAAUUGAUAUCCCGGAAGCCAAGGAUCAGUGGUACCACAGAGAUGUAAAGUGAAGUGAGCUCCUAUUAGCUUUAACAACUGUGAUGUCUUAGCAUCUUUAAUGAGAUUGAUGGGAGUGGGGUCAGGGAAAGGGAGCCUGAUUGUAGGGGCAAGGAGAUAAUGGGAAGCAGAAAAAUGGAGGCAGUGAGUGUGGACUAGUCUUUCAAGGUGAAAAGAAAGAUGGGACCAUAGCCAAAGGGAAAUGUGGAGUGGAGGAAGGUGUUUCCUUGAGUGAAUUAAGGGGUGGGGUGUGGUCCAGAGCCAGGUGGAGGAUUAGCUUCUUCCAUGGGAACAGGGGAAAGGGAAAGAAUGGGUGGGGAUGCAGGGUGGCAAGGAGUCAAAGGUAUUCUCUUCUGAUGGUUUCUAUUUUCUAGGUGAAGAAUCCAGUUUAUAUGCUAAGAGUGAGGAUAGAGGUUUGAGAAUAAUAGCCAAUUUGAGGAAAAUUUGCCUGAAGAAAGUGGAGAAAAGAGUAGAAGCUGACCUGUGGGAUGAGGCAACCAAGGUCCUGGUCAGCCUUGUCGGUGUUCGGACCAUAAAUGUAAAAGGCUUCUGUGCAGUAAAGGGUUCGCUCAGCAGGCCCUGGUUGCUCAAGCUCUGCGCAUGCACAUUCCAAAGAAAAGUCUGUCUUCAGGGGGAGUGGCCCUUAACCAGCCUGCAAGAUGACCUCGCAGCCAUCCGACUGUCCUGCCUGAUAAAAGUGUUUUUAAAUGCCUGAGGCCUUGAGCCAUGCUGUCUCAGUUUGACCUCUGGGAGGCUGCAGCUUGAGUAGUUACAAGGUCGGUCAUGCAGGUGCUAGGUGCCUAUGUGACUGGCCCCCAAUAAAAACCCUGGACGCCAAGGCUUGGCUGAGCUCCCUGUUUGGGGAUAGUUCACACGUGUUGUCACACAUCAUUUCUGGGAGAAUUAAGCACGUCCCUGUGCGACUCCAGUAGGAGGGGAUACCUGGAAGCUUGCACCUGGUUUCUCCUGGACUUCACCCGUACGCCUUUUCUCUUUGCUGAUUUUAAUCUGUAUCCUUUCACUGUAAUAAGCCAUAGCUUUAUAUAACAGCUCCUUUGAGUUCUGUGAGUCCUAGUGGAUCAGCAAUCCUGAAGGAACCUGAGAGUGGUCUUGGUGACCCCCAAUACAGCAUGCAUUGUCUAGACUAGUGAGAAACUGGAAACAUUUAAAUGACUACAAGUAAUGGAUUGGUGAAAUAAGUUGUUUUAUCCAUUCAGUGAAAUAUUAGGCAACUAUUUAAACAGAUAACAAAGGAAGUGGUUGAUCUAUGAAAAAUAUUGAAAGAUAUAUAUCAAACUGUUAAUACUAGUUAUUUCUGCAAGCCGGCGGGAGGGAAACUUACAUGAUAGGCUUUAUACGGUUCUUUCUAUGUAGUUUUUAUUUUCUUCAACCAGUAUUAUUAAAGCUAUUCACUGUCAACAAUUGUAGAUAUUUACAUUCUGGAAAAAGGAAGAAAAAACUAUUACGGAUUUAUCUCCUGAACAUUAUAUUAAGGUAUCCUAAUUAUUCCCUCAGCUUUAUCAAUUUUCUGUUGGAAGUGAGCUUUUUUUCUCAGCUCCCUAAAAUGGCUAUUUGUUCCUUCAAGGAUGGGAGUAGGAGACACAUCUGAACUGUUAUUGAAUACCCUCAGAGCCUGGCUCAGUAAGUACCUAUAACUGGGUGAAUAAAAAUGCGUCAGUUAGUGAGGCUGAA